rnacentral:tRNA from 8 species
AGAAACUUAGGAUAACAA